rnacentral:rRNA from 1 species
UAAGGAAUAUUGCGCAAUGGAGGAAACUCUGACGCAGCAACGCCGCGUGCAGGAAGAAGGCCCUUUGGGUCGUAAACUGCUGUAGCAGGGGAAUAACGGUCUCCCACGGGGAGACGUGAAGGUACCCUGAAAGUAAGCUCCGGCUAACUACGUGCCAGCAGCCGCGGUAAUACGUAGGGAGCAAGCGUUGUCCGGAUUCACUGGGUGUAAAGGGUGCGUAGGCGGGACAAUAAGUCAGUGGUGAAAUCUUACGGCUCAACCGUGAAACUGCCAUUGAUACUGUUGUUCUUGAGUUCGGGAGAGGUUGAUGGAAUUCCAGGUGUAGCGGUGAAAUGCGUAGAUAUCUGGAAGAACACCAGUGGCGAAGGCGGUCAACUGGCCCGAAACUGACGCUGAGGCACGAAAGCGUGGGUAGCGAACAGG